GGGGGUGUAACGGCUUCGACAUUCGGUUUGAGGCGGAGUAAGCAUACCGCAGGCUCGUCUGCGUCAAAAACGGAACGCAAAUAAUUAAACGCGAACAAAAAUUCUGAGAACUCCUCUAUGGAGUUCGCCCUCGCUGCAUAAUUUAGUCAGCGCGUCGCCGUCGGGUUUUCCGUUCCCCGACCAAGCGGCGUCAUAAAAACGGACAACGCAAUCCCAGCGCCCGGUAAGAUUGCUGUUUCACGGGCUCAUCAAUCCGCGGCUUGCCGUUGUGCCAAGGUGCGAAAAAUCCAAACAUCGGCUAAGUAUGUAGAAAGCGCCGUCAAUGGUCGUCUGGACCGGGGUUCGACUCCCCGCACCUCCACCA
rnacentral:tmRNA from 2 species